GAUGAACGCUAGCCUACAGGCUUAACACAUGCAAGUCGAGGGGCAGCAUUAGGGUAGCCAAUACUGAGAUUGGCGACCGGCGCACGGGUGCGUAACGCGUAUCCAACCUUCCCGUUACUCUUGGAUAGCCUUCCGAAAGGGAGAUUAAUACCAGGAUGGUGUUUGAAUUCCGCAUGUUAUUCAAACUAAAGAUUUAUCGGUAACGGAUGGGGAUGCGUGACAUUAGGUAGAUGGCGGGGUAACGGCCCACCAUGCCUACGAUGUCUAGGGGUUCUGAGAGGAAGGUCCCCCACACUGGAACUGAGACACGGUCCAGACUCCUACGGGAGGCAGCAGUGAGGAAUAUUGGUCAAUGGCCGGAAGGCUGAACCAGCCAAGUAGCGUGAAGGAUGAAGGUUCUAUGGAUUGUAAACUUCUUUUAUACGGGAAUAAAACCACCUACGUGUAGGUGCUUGUAUGUACCGUAUGAAUAAGCAUCGGCUAACUCCGUG
rnacentral:rRNA from 1 species